rnacentral:rRNA from 1 species
AUUAAACGCUGGCGGCAUGCCUUACACAUGCAAGUCGAACGGCAGCACGGGGGCAACCCUGGUGGCGAGUGGCGAACGGGUGAGUAAAGCAUCGGAACGUGCCCUGGAGUGGGGGAUAACGUAGGGAAACUUACGCUAAUACCGCAUAAGAACUGAGGUUGAAAGCGGCGGACCGCAAGGCGUCGCGCGAUUGGAUGAACCGAUGUCCGAUUAGCUAGUUGGCGGGGUAAAGGCCCACCAAGGCGACGAUCGGUAGCUGGUCUGAGAGGACGACCAGCCACACUGGAACUGAGACACGGUCCAGACUCCUACGGGAGGCAGCAGUGGGGAAUAUUGGACAAUGGGCGCAAGCCUGAUCCAGCCAUGCCGCGUGGGUGAAGAAGGCC